rnacentral:rRNA from 1 species
GAUGAACGCUGACAGAAUGCUUAACACAUGCAAGUCGACUUGAAGCAACUUCGGUUGUGGAAAAGUGGCGGACGGGUGAGUAACGCGUAAAGAACUUGCCCUUCAGUCUGGGACAACCAUUGGAAACGAUGGCUAAUACCGGAUAUUAUGGAACUCUCGCAUGGGAGGAUCAUGAAAGCUAUAUGCGCUGAAGGAGAGCUUUGCGUUCCAUUAGCUAGUUGGUGAGGUAACGGCUCACCAAGGCGACGAUGGAUAGCCGGCCUGAGAGGGUGAUCGGCCACAAGGGGACUGAGACACGGCCCUUACUCCUACGGGAGGCAGCAGUGGGGAAUAUUGGACAAUGGACCAAAAGUCUGAUCCAGCAAUUCUGUGUGCACGAUGAAGGUUUUCGGAUCGUAAAGUGCUUUCAGUUGGGAAGAAGAAAGUGACGGUACCAACAGAAGAAGCGACGGCUAAAUACGUGCCAGCAGCCGCGGUAAUACGUAUGUCGCAAGCGUUAUCCGGAUUUAUUGGGCGUAAAGCGCGUCUAGGCGGGUUCAUAAGUCUGAUGUUAAAAUGCGGGGCUCAACUCCGUAUUGCGUUGGAAACUGUGAACCUAGAGUAUCAGAGAGGUGGGCGGAACUACAAGUGUAGAGGUGAAAUUCGUAGAUAUUUGUAGGAAUGCCGAUGGAGAAGUCAGCUCACUGGAUGAAUACUGACGCUAAAGCGCGAAAGCGUGGGUAGCAAACAGG